rnacentral:lncRNA from 1 species
CUUUUAUCUUUUUAGGGCUGCACUCACAGCACAUGGAGUUUCCCAGGCUAGGGGGUCUAAUCAGAGCUGUUUCUGCCGGCCUGCACCAGAGCCACAGCAACGCCAGAUCCCAGCCGUAUCUGUGACCUGUACCACAGCUCACCGCAAUGCUGGAUCCUUAACCCACUGAAUGAGGCCAGGGAUCGAACCCACAACCUCACGGUUCCUAGUCGAAUUCAUUUCUGCUGCACCAUGACAGGAACUCCUAAUUCACAACUACUGUUUACCUAUGUUAGCUGAUUUAGGAACAGACUGUUACCAAGCUAUAAGGGCGUCAGGAUGGCAAAAGUCUAACAAUGAGGGGUUAAUUCUUUGUGCCAUAUUGUUCAUUUGACAAUGUUUCCCCUGUAAUUUACACUUAGUUUGUAAAAAAAAAAAAAAAGAAAGAAAGAAAGAAAAGAAAAACACACAAGGAAAAGUUUAAAAAUACCUGGUCAGAUAGAAUCAUAGAUUAUUGUUUCACAUUACUUAUUCAUUCAACCAACGUAACAAAGGAUUUCAAAAGCAAAUACAAAUUCAAGGCAAAGAAAUUCAUAUAAUCUGUUAUCAAAAGCAGCAUUUCAAAAAAAUCUUGUUUUAACAGAGAGACCGAAUUCAAAUUCAAGUUUUGCAACUAGCUUACUUUUUUCUGUGGGGAGCCGAGAAGAUACAAGAAGCCAAGGAAGGGAGCUUGCCUGUACUUGCAAAACCGAGGGCAGGUUCCUAAUCAGAAAAAAGGACCUUGCCUGUCGGCAGAAAAACCUGAAGGCAGGUUCCUAACCAAGGAAGGGAGCUCACCUGAAGGGUACAUGCCGAAGGUGGGCUUCUGGUCAGGAUAGAAGCCUGCCUGAACAGUACAAGCCGAGGGCAGGCUUCAGGUUACAGGGCUCUCAUUUUGAUGUUGAUGGGGAAGAAUUGGGGCUUUCCUGGGAAACAAUUUCCAUGUUUGCACCGGGGAACAUGCAUUGUUUCUCGGUGACCUAGUCUUUCCUGUUGUUUUGUUAUUCAGUUUUUCCUCAGUCUUUCCUGAUUAUUUGCUUAUUAUUCUUAUUUACCAUUCUUAUUUUCCUGUGGUGAUUUGGUUUGUGCUUCAACAAAAUUACAAAAAUAAUAUAAGAAUUUCAUCCUGAAGGACUUUCCCCUAUUUAAAUCCAACUUAAUUAAAACAUCGUGUUUAUCUACUAACUAGUUAUACAGUAAACUUUAAAGUUAGGAUUUUAAUGAGGUCUAUAGAAGUUAGACAUAUAUUAUUCUUCAUCAAAAGAAACCCAGCUGUGAGUUUUGUCCUUGACUUUAGAAAAUUUUAGCGGUAGCAGCUAAGUUGAUUUGUAUUUUCUCAUACUGUUUCCCUGCCAAGGACACUUUAAAGAUAGACACUAGUCUGAAGAUGAGUUUUUUGUGUCUGUAAUUUCUUCAGCUUGUGGGAACUGGCUGGCCAUGAGAUGGUUUGUACUGGGUCUCCUCUUUCCCAUAUGAUAUCCUGUGCCUGUUUGUCCUUGAAUUGUACUCACUAAAUUUAGUUAAACUGAAGAUUUUAAAACAUGAUGUAUUGCUACUGUACCAUGUGAUCAAAAAACAAAGCCUAAUAGUUAACCAAUGUACUUUUAACACUAUGAUGUAAUCUGUAAUAAAAAAACUGCCUAUAUAAUCAACCACUUACGCUAAUAAAAUUUGAGCAGUCCAGCGCCCUGAGAGAAGGGACAAAGAGGCUGUCUCCGUUGCAAAAGCCAACGCCGUUCAUCUCCCAUCUCAUCUCCCAUCGGGAUGUAUACACCCUGGCUGCCAGACCUGGUUGCUGGAGCUGGCCUCCGGCACUUUUCCUACAUUCUGAAGCAACCAUGGACUGUCUUUUAUCGUUUCUAAAGGCAUGCGCUUUCUUGUUGAACAUCUCAGGAUGGCACUGAACAUACCGAUUAAUAGUCUUAAAUGACUUCAGUUUCUCUGUUUUGUAACUGAAGUCUCAGUAUCUCAUUUGACUUUUAUCAAACUUAGGUACAAUAGGUAUUAUACUUAUGUCGAUGACUCUAAAGACAUGUCUAUAUUAAUUAGAUCAACAAAAUUUAAUCUUGGAGUUCCCUUCGUGGCUCAGCAGUUAAUGAACCCGACUAGGAUCCAUGAGGAUGCAGGUUCGAUCCCUGGCCUUACUCAUGGGUUAAGUAUCCGGCAUUGCCGUGAGCUGUGGUGUAGGUUGCAGACACGGCUCAGAUCUGACGUUGCUAUGGCUGUGGUGUAGGCUGGGAGCAACAGCUACAAUUAGACCCCUAGCCUGGGAGCCUCCAUAUGCCGAGGAUAUGGCCCUAAAAAGACAAAACAAAAUAAAAUAACCCGUUUUUCCUUGUGGUCCGACCCAGGAAAGCAUCUGCUGACUUUGAUGGACUCUCAGCCCCUCAACUUAGAUUUGGGAGUAAUUAAAGACCAUGCGGGAGGGGCAAUCACAAUAACAACUGAAACAUCGGCUCCAUUAUCUGUUAAUCCCCUGAUAUUUUUUUUCCAUUAACCGUAAUAGUCAUUCGUGGACGUUCAGUUGUGACUUCCUGAGUCCAAAAGACUUGAGAAGUCCCUGCACUUCCAAUCCUGAUGUUCCCCUUUCUUUAUGAGGACUCUGUCCUAUUUUAAGAUAUGGCAGCAGUAACAAUUGAGCAAUCCUCCUUCCAGGAUGCAAAGGAAGUAGGGUUUUGGAUUUCAUCAUCACUUUAAUCUCUCCUUGACAGUCUGCAUCUAUCACUCCAGGCAAAACUUGUAAGCCUCUCAAGGUUAAGCCACUUCUCCCUCUAAUGAGGCCUACGGUGUCCGGAGGAAGAGGGCCAUAAAUUCCUGGAGGGACUGCCUGAAAGCCCUGUUCAUAUGUUAAAACAGCUGCUGUGGCGCCCGGCAAGUCCAACGCUUGGGAAGCCCCUGGGAGGGAUCGGAUGCCUUUUCGGUUGGAGCCACAAAAGCCCACAUUGUUGGACGGGGCCGGGGCUGGCCCUGGUUCCCGUUUCCCGACACCAGAGUGGUUAAUGGAGUACCAUUUCGGUGAAACUUAGAUCGGCAUUGAUUAGCCCAGUGCUUCCCUUUCUGACAGCGAGGACAUAAGCCGGGGUUCUGACUGGGUCCUGGAGAUGAUCCUGUUGCAGAGGGUGCCUUUUCUUUUGGGGGGGCUCGGCAUUCUCUCUGAAAGUGUCCUGCCUUUCCACAGUUAAAGCAUGUCUUUCCUGAGCGGCCAAGUGCUCUUUUCAAUGCUGCAGCAAGCAGCUCUUGAGUAUGACCUACAGUCCCUACAUCCUGACAUGCCUUAAUAUAAUCAAAGAGGUCUCCUGAAUUUCUUACAGGGGCCAUUGCCCUUCUACAGUCUUUAUUUGCGUUUUCGUAUGCUAAUAGUUUAAUUAAAAUAUCAGCCACCUGAGAAUGGGCUACUUGGCGAUGGACGGCCUGUGUUAGGCGGUCCACAAAUUGUGAGUAAGGUUCUGUAGGGCCUUGAAGGCAACGUGUAAAAGAUCCUUGUGGCUUUCCUGUCCCAGGAAUUGUCUUCCACGCUCUUUGGGCGGCCAGGCUCAACUGCUCAUACGCCAGAGGAUCAUAAGCCAGUUGUUUUGUUACGUCAAGAAAAGGGCCUGUCCCCACCAACAUUUCAAAAGUAAUUGGAACAUGAUCUCUUUUAUUUAAGCAAGCCUGUUCCCGACAAAAAUCUGAAAGACUAGACUUCCAAAUUAAAUAAUCUAUACCAUCCAGGGUGGCUUUGGCUAUCAUAUGCCAGUCCCACGGGGGAAGCUGGAGUGUCCCCACGCUUUCUACCAAGCGCAUCGUAAAGGGAGCUGUCACUCCGUUCUGUAUCACACUCUCCCGGAGAGCUUUAAGAUCUUUAAAAUCAAAAGUGUUCUGCGCAUGGAUAUUUUGUCCUGGGACUUGAGGAUUGGGGACAAUAGGUAUAGGGCAUGCUAAAAAGGUCCGAUCCUCUAGACUAGCCGACUUUAAGGCUGAUUGAAGGGGAGUUAGUGCUGCCGCCACAGCUAACGGCCUAUUUAAACUCUCAUCAAGAAAGGGAUCGGCCUGAGGGGGAGCAGAAGCUAUAGGCUUUUCUUUAUGUUCCCGUAAGGGCUCCAAAACACGUCUUACUAGUUCCCAUGUAGAAAAAACAGAAACAGAAAGAGAGGCCCCCGACCGAUGGGCGUGCCUUAAAUUUUUCCCCACGAGAUCCCAGCAUUCCGGGUCCACAGUACCCUCGCCUGGAAACCAAGGGUUAUAUUUGACCACGGCUUCUAACAAUUCCUCGAUCUCAGACCCUGUUACCUGAGCCCCCGACCAUUUCAACACACAUUUCAGCAACUGAAUAUAAUGUUUGGUUUCCUGUGAUUGAUUCUGCCCCAUUGUUAUCCUGGCUUAAAAUUUCUACUCACGGUUGCGAUUCCGUCGAGUGCAACGCUACCGUCUCCGCCGUCUGUAGUUGCACUUUUUCCUGCUCGUGGCCCAACUUCUCUUUCCUCUGCUCGUGGCAGUGUUAUGGCAGCUGCCCAGAAGCCCUGGGCCGCAGCGUAUCAGUUCUGGCGACAGCCCUGUGGCUGUCGUGUCCCAGCUCCAGCAGCUCUGUGGCUGCAGUGGAUCAGCUCUUUGACCCGGCGAGAAACCAAGCGAGCACUCGGAGAGUUGGAGAACUCAGGUUUAUGACGCCGGUGGGCUCAGAGGAGAUCGCUCU